ACUGGGCGUGGUGGCGCAUGCCUGUAGUCCCAGCUACUCGGGAGGCUGAGGCAGGAGGAUCGAUUGAGCCUAGGGGUUCUGGGCUGCAGACUAUGCCAACCGGGUGUCUGAACUAAGUUUGGCAUCAAUAUGGUGACCUCCUGGGACCACCUGGUUGCCUAAGGAGGGGUGAACUGGCCUAAGUCGGAAACAGAGCAGGUCAAAACUCCCAUGCUGAUCAGUAGUGGGACGGCGCCUGUGAAUAGGCACUACACUCCAGCCUGGACAACAGUGAGACACCGUUUCU
rnacentral:SRP_RNA from 1 species